UUUAAAAUUUUAAAAACGACGGGCAAUAUGUGCAUAUUUUUUAUAAUUAUUUAAAUUAAAAAUUUUUUUAAAUUUAAUUUUAAAUCCAAUCCUUUAAUAUUAUUACAAACAUUAUUAAAAAAAAUUUUUAAAUAUAGUAUUUCAUUAAUAUAAAAUUUAAUUAUAAAAUAUAUUAUGAUUUGAAUUAUUUUUUAAAAAAUAAUUUUUAAAAAAUAAUUUUUAAAAAUAAUUUAUACAACAAUAUAUAAUUUAAUUUAAAUUAAAUAUAUUUUAUUGUGUACUAUCAAAUUAAUAAACAAAAUCCUCUAAUUUUUAAAAAUACUACCAAAUAAAUUAAUUUUAAUUUAUUUUAAUCAUUAUUAAUUUAUUUAAAUAUUAAUAAUA
rnacentral:rRNA from 1 species